GGAGUUAGCCGGUGCUUCUUCUGCGAGUAACGUCACAGAUGUAAGGUAUUAACUUACACCCUUUCCUCCUCGCUGAAAGUGCUUUACAACCCGAAGGCCUUCUUCACACACGCGGCAUGGCUGCAUCAGGGUUUCCCCCAUUGUGCAAUAUUCCCCACUGCUGCCUCCCGUAGGAGUCUGGGCCGUGUCUCAGUCCCAGUGUGGCUGAUCAUCCUCUCAGACCAGCUAGGGAUCGUCGCCUAGGUGAGCCUUUACCUCACCUACUAGCUAAUCCCACCUGGGCUUAUCCAUCAGCGCAAGGCCCGAAGGUCCCCUGCUUUCCCCCGGUAGGGCGUAUGCGGUAUUAGCAGUCGUUUCCAACUGUUAUCCCCCACAAAUGGGCAAAUUCCCAGGCAUUACUCACCCGUCCGCCGCUCGUCAUCUUCAAAGCAAGCUUUUGAAUGUUACCGCUCGACUUGCAUGUGUUAGGCCUGCCGCCAGCGUUCAAUCUGAGCCAGAAUCAAACUCUGA
rnacentral:rRNA from 1 species